rnacentral:sRNA from 1 species
CCCCAGGAAAUCGGUACCAGUGUUAUCCUCAUGGUACAGUGAAGAAUACUGAGACUUAGGUUGCGUAGCUUGCAGGUUGGACACACUUCUUUCUGACUGCUGGAGAGCUGUGCUUUUAACCACCUCUGAUCCAGCUUGUUUUCUGCAGGUGCAGGCCUGGGGUAGUCUCCUGUCUGGACAGAGAAGAGAAAAAUGCAGGACACUGGCUCAGUAGUGCCUUUGCAUUGGUUUGGCUUUGGCUACGCAGCACUGGUUGCUUCUGGUGGGAUCAUUGGCUAUGUAAAAGCAGGCAGCGUGCCGUCCCUGGCUGCAGGGCUGCUCUUUGGCAGUCUAGCCGGCCUGGGUGCUUACCAGCUGUCUCAGGAUCCAAGGAACGUUUGGGUUUUCCUAGCUACAUCUGGUACCUUGGCUGGCAUUAUGGGAAUGAGGUUCUACCACUCUGGAAAAUUCAUGCCUGCAGGUUUAAUUGCAGGUGCCAG